UCAAUAUUGGUAAGUAACAUCAACAAAAUAACGCUGUGGUGAUAUGUUGCACACAGAACAAAGCCAACAGACAAGAUGCCUGGAUCAUUUGGAUUGUUUCUCUGUGUUUUAUAUAUCGGAGCAACAGUAUCUCACAUCAGAGAUUGCAGUAAUGACGCAAAUGUUUCCUUCUCCUCGAAUCUACAGAAUAUAAGGGGUGCAUACUAUCGUCUCUACAGCCUUGACCCCACCAAGAACGAGACGGCAUGUGAAUGGGACGGUCAACACCUCGUAUGCCUCACGAAGUGUGUCGGUGACUUUUGUAACGGUCCGAUUCUCGCAGAAGCUUGUGCUGCGCAGGCGAAAACUUUGAUCACACUUAUGUCAUUUAUUUGCUUUGCAUUUUCGUGGCGUUAGUUUGAUUUGUCUUUUAUUGUGUUGUAAAAAGUAUACGUGGCUUAAAUAUCAAUGUAAAUAAUCAAAUAGUAUCAAAAGAAAAAAAUCGCAAAUUGAUACUUCGGCUUAUAGUAUUUUUGAUAAAUUGGUUAUUUCCACAUUUAUUUAACAUUCUAAGGGCACGUGAAAUUAAUUAGUAAUAAAGAUUUUCAUCGGAUAUGCCGCAGAUUGAAUUCGUAAAAUGAAAUUACACUAUUUGUAUUGAAAUAGUGCCCGAAGUGUCCACUUUGCCAUCCACAUUUUUUUAACGUAGAAGAGCAAUUAGAUUUGUGGUACUGACCAAAUCACAAGACACGCAUUACUUAGUACAAAUAUAACUUUUCCUUAAAACUACUCUUCUUUUUUAAUGAACUUAUGAGUGAUCUGAUUUAAAUGUGAUGCUAUGAUGUUAAUGUUUCCUAACAACAUAAGGUUUUGCGAAUUACUCGGGGACGAUUCUGAGGUUAGGAGCUUCAUUGAACCGGUUAAACCUCAGUGCUUUCCUAUGGCGGUUCAAAAACGCUGACGUCAGUUUUAUUCAUGUAUGCGUCUGGUUGUUGCGUGUUUUUUGUGUGUGUAAUGCUUAUAUUCCGAUGUAGACUGUUUGUUAUUUGGCCACUUAAUACAUGAUAUCCGUUGUAUAUUAAACUCUCUUCAGCCGA